rnacentral:tRNA from 1 species
GUUGUGAUAGUUCAGUUUGGUUAGAACAAUAGAAAGUGAAGGUUCGAGUCCUUCUCACAUUU